UCAAAUUCCAUAGUAAGAUUUCCACUUCGAACAUCAAUAUUUGUACAUGUGAUACUUAGAAAUGGUCUUCUGGGUAGAAUAUCAUGAACAUUUUUUGAGUGGUCGUCCUCUAUAUCGAUGAUGUAAAAGUCUGCAGGAAAAAUUAGUUCAUUUACCUUUACGAGGACAUCUUCCAGCACUUCUUCUGGAUAUACACAUGACCUGUUUGCAAAUUGAAUAAUC
rnacentral:lncRNA from 1 species